GAGGUUGUAGCUCAGUGGUAGAGCAUUUGCCUACCAAGCGUGAGGCACUGGGUUCAAUCCCCAGCACCACA
rfam:Ictidomys tridecemlineatus contig015526, whole genome shotgun sequence.